AGUGAACGCUGGCGGUAGGCCUAACACAUGCAAGUCGAACGGCAGCACAGUAAGAGCUUGCUCUUACGGGUGGCGAGUGGCGGACGGGCGAGGAAUACAUCGGAAUCUACUUUUUCGUGGGGGAUAACGUAGGGAAACUUACGCUAAUACCGCAUACGACCUACGGGUGAAAGCAGGGGAUCUUCGGACCUUGCGCGAUUGAAUGAGCCGAUGUCGGAUUAGCUAGUUGGCGGGGUAAAGGCCCACCAAGGCGACGAUCCGUAGCUGGUCUGAGAGGAUGAUCAGCCACACUGGAACUGAGACACGGUCCAGACUCCUAAGGGAGGCAGCAGUGGGGAAUAUUGGACAAUGGGCGCAAGCCUGAUCCAGCCAUACCGCGUGGGUGAAGAAGGCCUUCGGGUUGUAAAGCCCUUUUGUUGGGAAAGAAAAGCAGCAGGUUAAUACCCCGCUGUUCUGACGGUACCCAAAGAAUAAGCACCGGCUAACUUCGUG
rnacentral:rRNA from 1 species